AUUUAUUAUAUUGCACGACGCAAAUACUUGAACACUCACAGGGAGAUGAAAGUUCAAUGAUUCAACGCUUGAGCUGGGAAUACAUUGCCGUCAUUGCCACGACGCACGGAGUGCGGUCAGUUGCGCAAAUAACGUCGGGGUAUUCAACAAUAUACACACAGUUAUAAAACACUGGUACAAUUCAUUACAAGCGAGCAAUUUACAAAGCGUGAUGGUCCGCGUAUGUUUGUUUUCCCUUUAUGUGUAAUGUAUAAAUAUGUAUAUACAAAAUACGUGCCAAUUGCGGGAAGACUGUUAACCGCAAUGCAACGACAAAAGGUAAUACAAGGAGAAAAGCUGCAAUGAAAACAAAGGAUAUAGCGCACGAUGGUGGUUAAAGAAGCUCGAGCAACCCUUGAAUAAUGAUCUCACAGAAGGCUGUUUGUGACGUCAGACAUGGGACUAUCUAUAGUAAUACUCGACGUUUUAUCAGAUAACGACCAAAAAGCUGUGUUACGUAU